rnacentral:rRNA from 1 species
UGGGGAAUCUUGGACAAUGGGGGCAACCCUGAUCCAGCCAUGCCGCGUGAGUGAUGAAGGCCUUAGGGUCGUAAAGCUCUUUCGCCUGUGAAGAUAAUGACGGUAGCAGGUAAAGAAACCCCGGCUAACUCCGUGCCAGCAGCCGCGGUAAUACGUAGGGUGCAAGCGUUGUCCGGAAUUACUGGGCGUAAAGGGCGUGUAGGCGGCCAAUUAAGUCAGAGGUGAAAUCCCUCGGCUCAACCGGGGAACUGCCUUUGAAACUGUCUGGCUAGAGUUCGGGAGAGGGUAGGGGAAUUCCUAGUGUAGCGGUGAAAUGCGUAGAUAUUAGGAGGAACACCAGUGGCGAAGGCGCCUACCUGGACCGAUACUGACGCUGAGGUGCGAAAGCGUGGGGAAGCAAACGAGUAUUAGAUACCCUGGUAGUCCACGCUGUAAAACGAUGGUCACUCGGUGCUGCGGGUAUCGACCCCUGCAGUGCCUUAGCUAACGCGUUAAGUGACCCGCCUGGGGAGU